rnacentral:misc_RNA from 1 species
GAUGAAGAACGUAGCGAAAUGCGAUAAGUAAUGUGAAUUGCAGAAUUCAGUGAAUCAUCGAAUCUUUGAACGCACAUUGCGCCCCCUGGUAUUCCGGGGGGCAUGCCUGUUCGAGCGUCAUUACAACCCUCAAGCUCUGCUUGGUAUUGGGCCCCGCCAGUUCUGGCGGGCCCUAAAGUCAGUGGCGGUGCCUUCCGGCUCCGAGCGUAGUAAUUCUUCUCGCUCUGGAGACCCGGUUGUGUGCUUGCCAACAACCCCCAAUUUUUUAAGGUUGACCUCGGAUCAGGUAGGGAUACCAGCUGAACUUAAGCAUACAAUAAGCGGAGGA